rnacentral:rRNA from 1 species
CCCUUAGAUGUCCUGGGCCGCACGCGCGCUACACUGAACGGAUCAGCGCGUUUUCCCUUCCCGAGAGGGACGGGUAACCUGCUGAACCCCGUUCUUGGUAGGGAUCGGGGCUUGCAAUUAUUCCCCGUGAACCAGGAAUGCCCAGUAAGUGCAAGUCAUAAGCUUGCGUUGAUUACGUCCCUGCCCUUUGUACACACCGCCCGUCGCUACUACCGAUUGAACGUUUUAGUGAGGUACUCGGACUGAGCCUCAGAAGAUUCACGUCUUUUGUGCUGCUCGGGAAGAUUCCCAAACUUGAGCGUUUAGAGGAAGUAAAAGUCGUAACA